CCUACGGGCGGCAGCAGUGAGGAAUAUUGGUCAAUGGGCGAGAGCCUGAACCAGCCAAGUCGCGUGAAGGAUGACGGCCCUACGGGUUGUAAACUUCUUUUGUCAGGGAGCAAUUGGGUCCACGCGUGGGCUUAGCGAGAGUACCUGAAGAAAAAGCAUCGGCUAACUCCGUGCCAGCAGCCGCGGUAAUACGGAGGAUGCGAGCGUUAUCCGGAUUUAUUGGGUUUAAAGGGUGUGUAGGUGGUUUGAUAAGUUAGAUGUGUAAUACCCAGGGCUUAACUCGGGUGCUGCAUCUAAAACUGUUAGACUUGAGUACUGGAGAGGAUAGUGGAAUUCCUAGUGUAGCGGUGGAAUGCGUAGAUAUUAGGAGGAACAUCAGUGGCGAAGGCGACUAUCUGGACAGCAACUGACACUGAGGCACGAAAGCGUGGGGAGCAAACAGGAUUAGAUACCCCGGUAGUC
rnacentral:rRNA from 1 species